rnacentral:rRNA from 1 species
UACGGAGGGUGCAAGCGUUAUCCGGAUUCACUGGGUUUAAAGGGAGCGUAGGCGGGCAUGUAAGUCAGUGGUGAAAUCUUGGGGCUCAACCCCGAAACUGCCAUUGAUACUAUGUGCCUUGAAUGUCGUUGAGGUUUGCGGAAUAUGUCAUGUAGCGGUGAAAUGCUUAGAUAUGACAUAGAACACCGAUUGCGAAGGCAGCAGGCUAAACGAAUAUUGACGCUGAGGCUCGAAAGCGUGGGGAUCAAACAGG